rnacentral:rRNA from 1 species
UACGUAGGGAGCAAGCGUUGUCCGGAAUCAUUGGGCGUAAAGCGCGCGUAGGUGGCCUCAUAAGUCCGCUGUGAAAGUCAAAGGCUCAACCUUUGAAAGCCGGUGGAUACUGUGAGGCUAGAGUACGGAAGAGGCGAGUGGAAUUCCUGGUGUAGCGGUGGAAUGCGCAGAUAUCAGGAGGAACACCAAUAGCGAAGGCAGCUCGCUGGGACGUUACUGACACUGAGGCGCGAAAGCGUGGGGAGCGGACAGG